AAUUUACAACUAAGCCUGAAAAAAGGUUAGAUAUAUCUUGUUUACUACUUCUAAUUAUUUCAUUCCUACCGUGUGUUAUUUUGUUUUUAUCUAAUGUUGUUCAUGUGUUUUGUUUUGCAUGAGGUCAUUUACACUCCAAAUUUGUAGCUUAGCCUGAAAAAAGGUUAGAUAUAUCUUGUUUACUAUUUCUAAUUAUUUCAUUCCUACCGUGUGUUAUUUUGUUUUUCUCUAAUGUUUUUCAUGUGUUUUGUUUUGCAUGAGGUCAUUUACACUCCAAAUUUGCAGCUUAGCCUGAAAGAAGGACAUGGCAGUAAGUUGUACGCAGUGGCACCAGUGGGAUUGAUAGGAAGCAUUCUCCAGUUGCUGCAACUCCAGAAAGCUAGUGAUCUCUAAGUUAAUCAAAUGGAGGCCUAUGCAAGUAUAAAAAAGUGGGUGUACAUUUUAUGGAAUGAAUAUUAGUGAUCUCCAGUUAUGUGUACAUUUUAUGUAAGUGUAAUGAAGUGUGUGUGUACACACAUACUAUUUUAAAGGAAUGUCUAGCUCCUUAUAUAUGGAA